UUAAGUGACUAAGCGUACACGGUGGAUGCCUGGGCAGUCAGAGGCGAUGAAGGACGUACUAACUUGCGAUAAGCGCAGAUAAGGCAGUAAGAGCCGUUUGAGUCUGCGAUUUCCGAAUGGGGAAACCCAACUGCAUAAGCAGUUACUGUUAACUGAAUACAUAGGUUAACAGAGCAAACCGGGGGAACUGAAACAUCUAAGUACCCCGAGGAGAAGAAAUCAACCGAGAUUCCGGUAGUAGCGGCGAGCGAACCUGGAUUAGCCCUUAAGCACUCGGUGAAGUAGGUGAACAAGCUGGAAAGCUUGGCGAUACAGGGUGAUAGCCCCGUAACCGACGCUUCAUCGAGCGUGAAAUCGAGUAGGGCGGGACACGUGAUAUCCUGUCUGAAUAUGGGGGGACCAUCCUCCAAGGCUAAAUACUCCUGACUGACCGAUAGUGAACCAGUACCGUGAGGGAAAGGCGAAAAGAACCCCUGUGAGGGGAGUGAAAUAGAACCUGAAACCGUGUACGUACAAGCAGUAGGAGCACCUUCGUGGUGUGACUGCGUACCUUUUGUAUAAUGGGUCAGCGACUUAUAUUCAGUGGCAAGGUUAACCGUAUAGGGGAGCCGUAGCGAAAGCGAGUCUUAACUGGGCGCUCAGUCUCUGGAUAUAGACCCGAAACCGGGUGAUCUAGCCAUGGGCAGGUUGAAGGUUGAGUAACAUCAACUGGAGGACCGAACCGACUAAUGUUGAAAAAUUAGCGGAUGACUUGUGGCUAGGGGUGAAAGGCCAAUCAAACUCGGAGAUAGCUGGUUCUCCCCGAAAGCUAUUUAGGUAGCGCCUCGGACGAAUACUACUGGGGGUAGAGCACUGUUAAGGCUAGGGGGUCAUCCCGACUUACCAACCCUUUGCAAACUCCGAAUACCAGUAAGUACUAUCCGGGAGACACACGGCGGGUGCUAACGUCCGUCGUGGAGAGGGAAACAACCCAGACCGCCAGCUAAGGUCCCAAAGUAUUGCUAAGUGGGAAACGAUGUGGGAAGGCUCAGACAGCUAGGAUGUUGGCUUAGAAGCAGCCAUCAUUUAAAGAAAGCGUAAUAGCUCACUAGUCGAGUCGGCCUGCGCGGAAGAUGUAACGGGGCUAAGCAAUACACCGAAGCUGCGGCAAUGUCUUUUAGACAUUGGGUAGGGGAGCGUUCUGUAAGCCGUUGAAGGUGAAUCGUAAGGUUUGCUGGAGGUAUCAGAAGUGCGAAUGCUGACAUGAGUAACGACAAAGGGGGUGAAAAACCUCCUCGCCGGAAGACCAAGGGUUCCUGUCCAACGUUAAUCGGGGCAGGGUGAGUCGACCCCUAAGGUGAGGCCGAAAGGCGUAAUCGAUGGGAAACGGGUUAAUAUUCCCGUACUUCUGACUAUUGCGAUGGGGGGACGGAGAAGGCUAGGUGGGCCAGGCGACGGUUGUCCUGGUUCAAGUGCGUAGGCUUGAGAGUUAGGUAAAUCCGGCUCUCUCUAAGGCUGAGACACGACGUCGAGCUGCUACGGCAGUGAAGUCAUUGAUGCCAUGCUUCCAGGAAAAGCCUCUAAGCUUCAGAUAGUCAGGAAUCGUACCCCAAACCGACACAGGUGGUCGGGUAGAGAAUACCAAGGCGCUUGAGAGAACUCGGGUGAAGGAACUAGGCAAAAUGGUACCGUAACUUCGGGAGAAGGUACGCUCUUGAUGGUGAAGUCCCUCGCGGAUGGAGCUGACGAGAGUCGCAGAUACCAGGUGGCUGCAACUGUUUAUUAAAAACACAGCACUGUGCAAAAUCGCAAGAUGACGUAUACGGUGUGACGCCUGCCCGGUGCCGGAAGGUUAAUUGAUGGGGUUAGCGCAAGCGAAGCUCUUGAUCGAAGCCCCGGUAAACGGCGGCCGUAACUAUAACGGUCCUAAGGUAGCGAAAUUCCUUGUCGGGUAAGUUCCGACCUGCACGAAUGGCGUAAUGAUGGCCACGCUGUCUCCACCCGAGACUCAGUGAAAUUGAAAUCGCUGUGAAGAUGCAGUGUACCCGCGGCUAGACGGAAAGACCCCGUGAACCUUUACUACAGCUUGGCACUGAACAUUGAACCUACAUGUGUAGGAUAGGUGGGAGGCUAUGAAGACGUGACGCCAGUUGCGUUGGAGCCGUCCUUGAAAUACCACCCUUGUAUGUUUGAUGUUCUAACUUAGACCCAUUAUCUGGGUUGAGGACAGUGCCUGGUGGGUAGUUUGACUGGGGCGGUCUCCUCCCAAAGAGUAACGGAGGAGCACGAAGGUGGGCUAAUCACGGUUGGACAUCGUGAGGUUAGUGCAAUGGCAUAAGCCCGCUUAACUGCGAGAAUGACGGUUCGAGCAGGUGCGAAAGCAGGUCAUAGUGAUCCGGUGGUUCUGUAUGGAAGGGCCAUCGCUCAACGGAUAAAAGGUACUCCGGGGAUAACAGGCUGAUACCGCCCAAGAGUUCAUAUCGACGGCGGUGUUUGGCACCUCGAUGUCGGCUCAUCACAUCCUGGGGCUGAAGUCGGUCCCAAGGGUAUGGCUGUUCGCCAUUUAAAGUGGUACGCGAGCUGGGUUUAGAACGUCGUGAGACAGUUCGGUCCCUAUCUGCCGUGGGCGUUGGAAGAUUGAAGGGGGCUGCUCCUAGUACGAGAGGACCGGAGUGGACGAACCUCUGGUGUUCGGGUUGUGUCGCCAGACGCAUUGCCCGGUAGCUAAGUUCGGAAUUGAUAAGCGCUGAAAGCAUCUAAGCGCGAAGCGAGCCCUGAGAUGAGUCUUCCCUGA
rnacentral:rRNA from 1 species